rnacentral:rRNA from 1 species
GACGAACGCUGGCGGCGCGCCUAACACAUGCAAGUCGAACGGAGCUGAGAGAAGCUUGCUUUUCUUAGCUUAGUGGCGAACGGGUGAGUAACGCGUGAGUAACCUGCCCUGGAGUGGGGGACAACAGUUAGAAACGACUGCUAAUACCGCAUAAGCCCACGAUCCGGCAUCGGAUUGAGGGAAAAGGAUUUAUUCGCUUCAGGAUGGACUCGCGUCCAAUUAGCUAGUUGGUGAGGUAACGGCCCACCAAGGCGACGAUUGGUAGCCGGACUGAGAGGUUGAACGGCCACAUUGGGACUGAGACACGGCCCAGACUCCUACGGGAGGCAGCAGUGGGGGAUAUUGCACAAUGGGGGAAACCCUGAUGCAGCAACGCCGCGUGGAGGAAGAAGGUUUUCGGAUUGUAAACUCCUGUCGUUAGGGACGAUAAUGACGGUACCUAACAAGAAAGCACCGGCUAACUACGUG